CUGAGGCGGGUGGCGCUGUGGUCUAAACCACUGAGCCUCUUGGGCUUUUGCCGAUCAGAAGGUCGGCAGUUCGAAUCCGCUCACGACAGGGUGACCAUGUUGCUUUGUUCUAGCUUCUGCCAACCUAGCAGUUCAAAAGCAUGCCAGUGCAAUAGAUAAAUAGGUACCGCUGCGGAGGGAAGGUAGACAAUGUUUCUGUGCACUAUGGUUUCCAUCACGGUGUGAUGGAAGCGGUUUAAUCAUGCCCCGGAAAGCUGUCUGGACAAACGCUGGCUCCUGGCUCCUUCACCGCAUCCCAUAGAGUCUCCUUUGACUGGACUUUAACCAUCCAGGGGUCCUCUAUUAUCACUAUCACUGCUUUCAUUGAUGUUUUCUAAUAUGGCUGCUGAAAUGAAGAAACCUGUGCAGCACUGGAGUUCUGUGCGAAACUGUGAUGAUGCUCACUUGAGUGACCCCACAGAAGAUGAAUUUCCUUAUGCACGUGUGAGAGGAAAAGCACCCUCAAUUUAUCUGUUACACCAGGAGGAUUACAGUAAUUAAGCCAGGCUGUCAGCAGCACAGCACACAAAUCCAGGCCAGGAAAUGCUUCACUCUGGUUGCAGCCUCAAAACUACAGAAUAAUGAGGGAUUCCCU